CCCGUAGGGAGCAAGCGUUGUCCGGAUUUAUUGGGCGUAAAGAGCUCGUAGGCUGUUCGAUAAGUCGGGUGUGAAACCUCCAGGCUCAACCUGGAGACGCCACCCGAUACUGUCAUGACUAGAGUCCGGUAGGGGAGCGUGGAAUUCCUGGUGUAGCGGUGAAAUGCGCAGAUAUCAGGAGGAACACCAGCGGCGAAGGCGGCGCUCUGGGCCGGUACUGACGCUGAGGAGCGAAAGCGUGGGUAGCAAACAGG
rnacentral:rRNA from 1 species